rnacentral:pre_miRNA from 1 species
GAGGUACUCCCUCCGUUCCGAAUUACUCGUUGCAGAAAUGGAUGUAUCUAGAUGUAUUUUAGUUCUAGAUACAUCCAUUUCUACGACGAGUAAUUUGGAACGGAGGGAGUAUAUU